UAAAGCCUAGCACGGGGAGGUGUGUCUCAUAAUGACGUAAGAACAAGAUCAUCUCUUUGACCAAAUAAAACUGAAAACUCCUGUGUUACACAAACAAGGAAAUCAAAAGGCGAUUUGGGACAAAGUAUUGGUAUUUAUAUGACAACACAUUCUGGCAAAGAAAUCCGCCUCCAUCAAAAGAAGGCUGAGAGAGAAGCUCUGGCUUCUGGUGGAAUACUGAUGUCUAAUCCAGAAUGGCCCCUGUCCAGCUCCCCAGCUGUGUAGGAUAAUGUGUUAUGGCUGCAUAAAAAUGGAAGAGUAUGUGACCCCAUCUGGCCAUAAAAGGCAACAGAGCUACCACGGAUUGUAUUGAGAGACCAGGCUUCCAGGAAGCUCAAGCCACUUGCAAAGGUCACAUUUUGGUGCCCUGCCAGCAUCCCAGGGGAUUGGAAGAAUCAACUGUUAGAGCUGUGAACCAAGACAGCUACAGAUGAUUCCUGCUCCUGUGUGGGUCAGCUUAGCCUGACCUGAACCUGCCUACGGUCUAAUUAGUUAUUAAACCUGCCUACGGUCUAAUUAGUUAUUAAAAAGAUAAGAGACAGUUUUGAGUCUUUAAAGUGUGCUCAUUUUUAAAGUAGUGUUCUUAUUUUUGUAGGAUUACUUUUAUUGCAGUUCUACUGAUCAUAUGAGGCUGGAGAGCUAGCCCAGUGUUUAAGAGUCUGUUGCUCUCACAGAGCACUCAUAUUGGGUAGCUCACAACUGUCUGUCACUCCAGCUUUCGGGGAUCUGACACCUCUUUUGACUUCUACAGGCACUCACAUGCAUGUGUGCCUAUGUGGUGCAUGCACACACAUGAAUAAAAAUUAAAAACAUAAAAGUCUAUUUUAUAAC
rnacentral:lncRNA from 1 species